GAUGAAGAACGUAGCGAAAUGCGAUAAGUAGUGUGAAUUGCAGAAUUCAGUGAAUCAUCGAAUCUUUGAACGCACAUUGCGCCCCUUGGUAUUCCGAGGGGCAUGCCUAUUCGAGCGUCAUUAUCACCCCUCAAGCCUAGCUUGGUGUUGAGGCCUGCUGUCAAGGCAGCCUCUAAAAUCAGUGGCAGUGCUGUCAGGCUCUAAGCGUAGUAAAUCUAAUCGCUAUAGACACCUGGUGGACACUCGCCAGAACCCCCCCAUUUUUUAAUGAUUGACCUCGGAUUAGGUAGGGAUACCCGCUGAACUUAAGCAUAUCAAUAAGCGGAGGA
rnacentral:misc_RNA from 1 species